AACGUGCUAUACUAAUAGGGAAUCCGAUUUGAUUUCGGAGCUGUACCCGCAGCUGUAAUCCUCGUGAAAAUUUACAUAAUCAUCGCCACUGUUAUAAUAAUAAUGGGAAGGCAUGUAAAUUGAGGUAGCCAGAAGACCUGCCAAAAUACUUU
rnacentral:ncRNA from 1 species